rnacentral:rRNA from 1 species
AUACGUAGGUGGCAAGCGUUGUCCGGAAUUAUUGGGCGUAAAGCGCAUGUAGGCGGUUUGGUAAGUCGGUCGUGAAAAUUCGGUGCUUAACGCCGUAUGGCGAUUGAAACUGCUGAACUUGAGUGCAGGAGAGGAAAGGGGAACUCCCAGUGUAGCGGGGAAAUGCGUAGAUAUUGGGAAGAACACCGGUGGCGAAGGCGCCUUUCUGGACUGUGUCUGACGCUCAGAUGCGAAAGCCAGGGUAGCGAACGGGAUUAGAUACCCCGGUAGUCCUGGCCGUAAACGAUGGGUACUAGGUGUGGGAGGUAUCGACUCCUUCCGUGCCGGAGUUAACGCAAUAAGUACCCCGCCUGGGGAGUACGGCCGCAAGGCUUAAACUCAAAUGAAUUGACGGGG